rnacentral:rRNA from 1 species
AUUGCCUCAGUAACGGCGAGUGAAGCGGCAACAGCUCAAAUUUGAAAGCUGGCCCCCCCGGGGGUCCGCGUUGUAAUUUGUAGAGGAUGAUUCGGCGAGGGCUCCCGCCUAAGUCCCCUGGAACGGGGCGUCAUAGAGGGUGAGAAUCCCGUAUGCGGUGGGCUGCCUUAGCCAUGUGAAUCUCCUUCGACGAGUCGAGUUGUUUGGGAAUGCAGCUCUAAAUGGGAGGUAAAUUUCUUCUAAAGCUAAAUACCGGCCAGAGACCGAUAGCGCACAAGUAGAGUGAUCGAAAGAUGAAAAGCACUUUGGAAAGAGAGUUAAAAAGUACGUGAAAUUGUUGAAAGGGAAGCGCUUGCAGCCAGACUUGUCCGCAGUUGCUCAGCCGGUCUCCUGACCGGCGCACUCUUCUGCGGCCAGGCCAGCAUCAGUUCGGGCGGUCGGAUAAAGGCCCCGGGAACGUAGCUCCUCUCGGGGAGUGUUAUAGCCCGGGGUGGAAUGCGGCCAGCCUGGACUGAGGAUCUCGCUUCGGCUAGGAUGCUGGCGUAAUGGCUGUAAGCGGCCCGUCUUGAAACACGGACCAAGGAGUCUAACAUCUAUGCGAGUGUUUGGGUGUCAAACCCAUGCGCGUAAUGAAAGUGAACGGAGGUGGGAACCCUCGCGGGUGCACCAUCGACCGAUCCUGAUGUCUUCGGAUGGAUUUGAGUAAGAGCAUAGCUGUUGGGACCCGAAAGAUGGUGAACUAUGCCUGAAUAGGGUGAAGCCAGAGGAAACUCUGGUGGAGGCUCGCAGCGGUUCUGACGUGCAAAUCGAUCGUCAAAUUUGGGUAUAGGGGCGAAAGACUAAUCGAACCAUCGACUACUAGGUGGUUAAGAGGUGGCUGAAAGUGCCCACCUAGUCCCCCCGUCCUCGGACGGGGGGGCGACAUCGCCAAAUUGCGGGGACUCCCUUAGAGCCUCUACUACCGCGGCCGGCCGAAAGGCGCGGUGCAGCACCGGGUUAAUUGCCUAGGGUACGGUAAAAAGGUAGAGGAUUGGGAAAUCCGCAGCCAAGCGCCUAAGUCCCGCGGGAUACGGCGAAGGUUCAGAGACUAGAUGGCGGUGGGUCCGGCCCGAGGGCCGGGCCUAAGGUAUAGUCC